GGUUCUGUAGUGUAGCUGGUUAUCACAUCGGAUUCUGAUAUCGGAACUUCCGGUAACCCCGGUUCGAAUCCGGGCAGGACCU
rfam:Coniochaeta ligniaria NRRL 30616 unplaced genomic scaffold CONLIGscaffold_5, whole genome shotgun sequence.